rnacentral:rRNA from 1 species
GGUUCGAUUAUGGCUCAGAUUGAACGCUGGCGGGAUGCUUUACACAUGCAAGUCGAACGGCAGCACGGACUUCGGUCUGUAUGAGUGGCAAAGAACGGGCAUAAUGCAUGGAACGCCUUAGUAGCGUAGAUAACUACGGGAAAGCGUAGCCAGAUCAUUGGUAUUACUACUACCUUUCGGGGAAAGCGGGGACCUUCGGGCCUCGCACUAGGAGCGGCCGAUAUCGGAUUAGCUAGUUGGUGGGGUAACGGCUCACCAAGGUCGAUUCGUAGCUGGUUUGAGAGGACGACCAGCCACACGGACCGAGCGCCCAGACUCCUACGGGAGGCAGCAGUGGGGAAUUUUGGACAAUGGGGGAAACCCUGAUCCAGCCAUCCCGCGUGUGCGAUGAAGGCUCUCGGGUUGUAAAGCACUUUUGGCAGGAAAGAAACGGCACGGGAUAAUACCCCGUGCAACUGACGGUACCUGCAGAAUAAGCACCGGCUAACUACGCUGCAGCCGCGGUAAUACGGUAGGCAAGCGUUAACGGAAUACUUAGUGGGUGUGCAGGCGCGUUGGAAAGAAAGAUGUGAAAUCCCAGAGCUAACUUUGAACUGCAUUUUUAACUACCGAGUUAGGAGUGUGUCAGAGGGAGGUGGAAUCUUGCGUAGUGCAGUGAAAUGCGUAGAUAUGCGUGGAGGAACACCGAUGGCGAAGGCAGCUUCCUGGGAUAACACUGACGCUCAUGCACGAAAGCGUGGGGAGCAAACAGGAUUAGAUAUCUUCAGGGUCCACGCGUGCCCAAAUCAGAUGUCAACUAGCUGUUGGGGCCUUCGGCCUUGGUAGCGCAGCUAACGCGUGAAGUUGACCGCCUGGGGAGUACGGUCGCAAGAUUAAAACUCAAAGGAAUUGACGGGGACCCGCACAAGCGGUGGAUGAUGUGGAUUAAUUCGAUGCAACGCGAAAACCUUACCUACCCUUGACAUGUCUGAAUCCCGAAGAGAUUUGGGAGUGCUCGCAAGAGAACCGGAACACAGGUGCUGCAUGGCUGUCGUCAGCUCGUGUCGUGAGAUGUUGGGUUAAGUCCCGCAACGAGCGCAACCCUUGUCAUUAGUUGCUACGAAAGGGCACUCUAAUGAGACUGCCGGUGACAAACCGGAGGAAGGUGGGGAUGACGCCGGUCCUCAUGGCUCCCAUAGGUAGGGUUUUCCACACGUCAUACAAUGGUCGGGACAGAGGGUCGCCAACCCAGGUGUGGGAGCCAAUCCCAGAAACCCGAUCGUAGUCCAUUGAUCGAGUUCUGCAACCUGACUGCGUGAAGUCGGAAUCGCUAGUAAUCGCGGAUCAGCAUGUCGCGGUGAAUACGUUCCCGGGUCUUGUACACACCGCCCGUCACACCAUGGGAGUGGGUUUUACCAGAAGUAGUUAGCCUAACCGUAAGGAGGGCGAUUACCACGGUAGGAUUCAUGACUGGGGUGAAGUCGUAACAAGGUAACCCCA